rnacentral:rRNA from 1 species
AUUGAACGCUGGCGGCAGGCUUAACACAUGCAAGUCGAGCGGGGGAAGGUAGCUUGCUACCGGACCUAGCGGCGGACGGGUGAGUAAUGCUUAGGAAUCUGCCUAUUAGUGGGGGACAACAUCUCGAAAGGGAUGCUAAUACCGCAUACGUCCUACGGGAGAAAGCAGGGGAUCUUCGGACCUUGCGCUAAUAGAUGAGCCUAAGUCGGAUUAGCUAGUUGGUGGGGUAAAGGCCUACCAAGGCGACGAUCUGUAGCGGGUGUGAGAGGAUGAUCCGCCACACUGGGACGGAGACACGGACCAGACUCCUACGGGAGGCAGCAGUGGGAAAUAUGGGACAAUGGGGGAAACCCUGAUCCAGCCAUGCCGCGUGUGUGAAGAAGGCCUUAUGGUUGUAAAGCACUUUAAGCGAGGAGGAGGCUACUCUAGUUAAUACCUAGGGAUAGUGGACGUUACUCGAAGAAUAAACACCGGCUAACUCUGUGCCAGCCGCCGCCGUAA